rnacentral:lncRNA from 10 species
CAAAGAACAGAGGCAAGCCUCCAGCCAGGAGCUCAUGAAAUCAUGAACUGAGGCCUCAGUGCAAUAGCUCAUGAGGAAAUGAAUUAUUUCAACAGCCAGAUGUAGUAAACACUCAGAGAAAACGAGGUUGAAAAACCAAAUGCUGGGGAGGAGCCAAGAUGGCCGAGUAGGAACAGCUCCGGUCUACAGCUCCCAGCGUGAGCGACGCAGAAGACGGGUGAUUUCUGCAUUUCCAUCUGAGGUACCGGGUUCAUCUCACUAGGGAGCGCCAGACAGUGGGCGCAGUUCUGGAAGUUGGAAGUACAAGAUCAGAUUGCCAGCAUCAUCAGGUACUCAUGAGGGCCGUCUUCCAGCUUGCAGACUGCCAACUUCUCAUUGUGUCCUCAGAUUUGAUAUCAAAGUAAUGUCAAGUGCUUCUGACCCACUGCAUUAAACGUGUGCUGAGCAGUUGGUGGUAGAAGACAUUAUUGUGAAGGCUGCUCACCACCAAUUUCAUCACUGUUGCUAACUCCAGCUCAUCUAAUCUCUGCAACAUCUGCUACCAGCACCUUCUCUUGCCUCCUUUUGUGAACAUAGUUUUUUCUUCUGGUUAGAAAAUCAGUUCGAACUUCUUGAGUUUUGUGUUUUAAACUCUUCUCAACUGUUCCGAUGAUUGAUGGAUGGCCCAGAGGCGACCUCUUUAUCUCCAGCAACAUAUUUGGCUGUUGGCCCGGUAGAGAGGUACUCCAGAAGCUUGCUGGUUCAUCAUGCUCUCAUCUUUAACCACAACUAUUUAUCUGACUCCUUCCAUCUCCACAGCACUGUGUGAGGGAUCAGUGAUAAGAGACGGUGAAAGACAUGCGCAAAUGGAUAAAUAAUAAGCAGGAUAUGUAGAAUGACACAACAAUUGAUGAGUAAUUUAGGAGAUCCAAUAACUAAAAAAAAAAAGACUGGGGACAAGUUCAUGGAAAGAGUAAUCAACUAAGCCUUAUAACAUAAAAUUGACAAAUAGAGAAGGCAUGCAAUCCAGUAGAAUAGAGUGCAAAAGAGGUAGAAGACUAAUCGUUUCAAGACAUGUUGAGCCACAACAGCAAUAACAUUGUGACAAAAAACGUCGGUGUAGACUGCAGAAGAUCUUCAAUGACGGAUCAAGCUGUAUAGACUUUUUUUUACCCUCAUAUACUGAAUAGUCAUUUAAGGUAUACAGUGCCAACGUAAGAGAGAAAGGUAAACUUUUUUUAACACAAGUUGUAGGCCUUGGAAAGAAGUUUUCCAGUAACAAGAUAACACGAUAAUGUACUGUGGUUAUAAGCUCAAAGUGGUAUAUUUGAUUCAGUGUUCCCAGAACCACCAAAACCUUGGAACCAUUGUUUAGCUAAAGCUACUAGAACAACAGAAUAACCUACUCUGUGGCAUUGUAAAGUAAAAUUAUACUACACACAAAUACUUGACAUAAAAUACAUUUCCAAACUCAAUUAUUAGGGAUAACAUAAGCACAAAAUGAUGCUUUGCAAACAUCAUGUAUCCUAUAACUGGAGAAAAAAAAUUAAUGACAUGAAGUGAAAUGACUGAGUUCUGAAGCUACAUCUCAAUUUAAAUAGCAUAAGCAAUUUAGUAUACAACAUUCUUCAAAAUCAAUUGUUGAAGGUUAACUAUAAUCUACAUACAAAAACAACUUUGUCAACUUUUUGUACGGAUUUUCCUUCUAAACAUAUUUACUUUAUGUGUAAAAUCAAAAAAUUUCCUGAGUUAAAGGCUAAGACUUGACUUUAUGAAUACAUGCCCAAAAAUUGGUGGUGGCUGGUUUCUGUUUUUAUUUUGUAAGCUUAGUAUAAUGGUUGUCCAGAACUUGUAAGCAAUGACCUCAUUUCUAAGCGGACAAGAUGCAAAAGACCAUUUUUACAGAUUAACCAUCUGGUUCCUUUAGGAAGAGUAAUAUUUCAACAGGUUCCUGUAUUUCAAGAAUAUAAAUAAUUAAAAAGAUGAAGAUAUGUGAAAUACACAAAGAAAAAAAUAGAGAAAAUAGCAUUUAAAGCAAAUUAUCCUAGCUCCCUCAAUUAAUAUUUUAAAACCAUGACAAUCAGUUAUUAAUAUAAAUUGUUAAUUUUAUUUAAUACAACAUCAAUAUAAUUCAUACCAUCUUCUUCAACUAGGUGGUCUAUCAUUUUGGAGUUUCUUUCCACCUCUGGAGAAUUGCUCAGGAAAUCUGGCUAACAUACCAAAUAAAUCAAAUGGAUUUAAUGAGAUGGUUUUUGGCUAGUUUCUAUAUUCUUGUAUACACAUGCAUGUAACACAUAAAUGUGGUGCUGUUCACAGUUAGAGGCGCAAGAGAAAAAAGUAGCUUUCCAGUGUUAUUUCAUUGUUAUUAACUAUACAGUAUUCAGGUGCAAACAAAUGAAAAUCCUGUAUAUUCACGCUAAAAUAUAAUAUGUAUCAAAAUAAGCAUAAAAUAACUGUUUUGGAUAGGUCUUAGGAUGCUGCUGUGGCUUAAUUUGCUCUGUUUAUGUUCUCUCCGCUUUUCUUUAUUGCAUGUGCUAGUUUUGAUGUGUUGUUUGACUAAUAUGUCAUACGGUGAAUUUACUGAGGUCUAUAACAAAAGGCAUGGAUCCAUACACUGGACACAACCUUGAGGGCAUAAGGGAAAAAAAAAAGAAACUAAGUACCAUAGAACAGCCUCAACAAAAUCAGAGCAUGCUUUACACGUGAUUUUCAGUUACACCCUGCUUGUCAUUUGUGAUUACUCAAAACAAUAAUUAAAUUACGUCCUCCAGGAAACAGGAAGGAGUGGAUAACCAAAAUACAUGAAAAGCCCCUACAGUCCCUGUUUGUUCAGAGUAUAGAUCAGCAUUCUUUAGGAGUUCCAUUCUUUUAUUACAGGAAUGAAUAUUGGGUUGAACACGCUUAUAUGCAUUUAGAGGUAAUGUGAUGUAUGAAAACAAGUACUGCAGAGGUUUCCUCUGUAGAACUGUACUUUUAAGAGGAGCAGCCACCAUAAUCUUCUUGUAAAGGUAAACUGGAUCAUGUCAUUUUCAAAUAAAGUCUUCUCUCACUUCAUUUUCCCCUUAAAACAAUAUAUAAAUGAUAAUAGUAGCAACGGUAACAGUAGAAGUGGUAAACUCAACAUAAAAAGCCUACAAGGCUCUUUCCUUGUCUCUUGCUACUCCCACUUCCACUCCAUUUGCAUCUCCAACCACAGAUGCUUUCUUUCUGUGCCCCAAUGAAGCUCUUUAUGUGCCUUUCACAUACUGUUACUUCUGGUUUGUUCUUUAAAUAGAUAAUUAUUUAUUGCCCUUAAAGACUUAAGUUAAAUACCACAUCUGCCAAGAGAUUUCACUUACUGCCUUCCACUCCCAAUCUAAGUCACUUUCUCUGGCUCUCUUAUAUAAGCACAGUUAUGUUUUCCUUAGAAUAUUCAUCACAAUUUGACAUUUUAAUUUGCAUUCAUUUACUUUUUAUCCCCAACUGGACAAUAUGCUCCUUGGAAAUAGGAAAUCAU